rnacentral:lncRNA from 1 species
GGGCCUGUGGGGGCGCAGAGGGCGGGGCUUCCUGCGGGGAGGGGAGGCCGGGCAGUGGGGGCGGCGGCGGUGGCGCUGCUCCGGGAGCCGGCUCUGCUGCAGGUGCGAGAUCUGAGCCAGCGAGGGCGCGGCGUGGGGGAGGCGCGAGUCAGCUCCUUGACUUGGGUGGGCCCCUCUCCGCCUCUCCGCUCUACGCAUGCGCUCCUACCUGAGCCGAGCCUACAAUCCAAACCUCCCUCGCCCAACUCUGCCCGCCACAGAUGCCCCUGGGCUCCCCUCCAGACCCUGCCCCGCAUCCCCGCCAGCCUGAAGCUCCUGCGCACCUGGGCUGGGGGAGCCGGUCGGCACCCCCGGAGUCGGAGCAUCACCGCCGCUCGGAGUUGCCACAGCGACGGGGAGGAUCUCGAUGGAGACAGCAUCCCCCGGCCCCCGCAGAAUACGGAUUAACCCCUUCUCCUCCAGCUCCUCCACCUUCAGCUCCAGGGCCGAGGGCCGCGUCGGGGCAGCGGGAGGCGCUUUCUCAGGCUCUGGGGGACGCCUGGAGGGCCCCAUGGCGGUCGAUUCGCUGAAGCGCUCCUACGAACCCCACGGGAGGGGUCAGUGCCCACCAGCAGGCUCCUUGGCACCAAGCCUCCAUCUUCUUCCCGGGGUGGAGGGAGAUGUCAAGCCUAGAAGCCUCAGCUGGCCUGUUCUUGGGCGCCUGGCCUACCACCCGCCCCAGCCUCACCCGCAGGGUCUCCAACUCCUUGCGCGCCUGGCUUAGCUGUUUUUCCAGUUCUGCAAUCUUGGCCAUGGAUUCGUUCUCCGCGUCCCGAAGCCGCUCUGUCAGCUGUAGCACCAGCACAUGUUCCUCCAUGUGCUCCAGCACAGCGUUCUUGGUCUCUGUGUCCUCCAGCAGCGCCCCCACAUCAAAAAUAUUGUCCAGGUACGCCUGGAUCUGCACCUGCAGCUUGUCACUCUCGAUGGCAAAACUGACACUGAGAGAGAGGAAGAGGCCUAUCCAAGGUCACACGGCAGGCAACGGCAGAGCCAGGAUUUAAACCCAGGUCUACCUGACCCCAGCACUCAUGCUGCUAACCACUCAGCCAUACUCUGCCGUGGGCAGGCAGUUCAGUCUGGGGGGCAGUACAGGGCUUACCUCCAAGUACAGGUCCAGGCCCAAGUGGGUGAACUCAUAUUGCAGGAAGACACGGAAGUUCAUGUUCUCCACCGAAUGUACCACAAUGUUGAUGAACUGCAUGCAGGCCACCUGGGAGCCAGGGACAUGGGGAGAUCUAUGAUCCUCUAGGUGGGGUUGCUCAAUGCCUUCCACCUCCACUUACCCCAAGCCUCCCUCCUUCUCCACAGUUCUCACUCCACUAACUCCCAGCCUUGGCCUGCCCAACAUUUCACCUCCAUGUUCCCUCAAUCCAGCCCCCUGCCAACAUCCACCCUUCCCCUACUGACCACUCAGUCCUUACGCUUUGCGGGGGCAGAGCCCAUUGCCCAGCACCCAGGACCCUAGCUGCUCCCUGCACCCAAGAGGGCCUGGCCCAGGCCUCAGGCUGCUGGGCUCCUGAGCUCACCAUGAAGUCGAUGUUGCUGUCCUCAUUCCGGAAAUAUUCCAUCAGCUUUUCAAAGCGGUGCUGCUCCCCACACACCUGGGUAAGGGGAAUGGCUCUCACUGAGGCCCAGUGACACACGUCCUAAGCUACCUUCUGGCUGCCACACCUGUGCUUCAACAGGCUCCUCUCCAGUUAAUUCUAAGUUGAGCCACGUCACUCUUCUGCUCAAAACCUCCACUCCCUCUCAAUCUCCCACUCUCCCUCACUUUUUCCACUCUGGCCACACUGGCAUCCUGGCACAUUCCCACCCCAGGGCCUUUGCACUUACUGUUCCAACUCCCUGGAGUGCCCUCACUCCCACACCAAGUCCCUUGCUUCCUUCACAGCUUUGCUGAAAUCUCACUUGCUCAGUGAGGCCUUCCCUGACCACCCUGCAACCAAUUCCCCCUCCCUCUGCAACAUUGCUGGCUUUUUUCUCACAGCAUUUAUCAUUUCCUAACAUACUAUGUAAUUUGCUUGUUUAUUAUAUCGUUUCUGUCUUUCCCUAUAUGGUUUCCUUUGUUCACUGAUGUGCCCAAGUGCCCUGUUCCUGACACAUAGUAGGCACUCAAUAAAUAUUCAUUAAAGGAAUGAAUGAAUGAAGAUAUCUUGUCUUAUGCAUCUUAUGCAGCCCCACACAUCUACUUCUUGCAAGCCUGUUAGCCAGAGUCCGCAACUCCUGGAGGUAUGAACCAAGGCUAGUUUGGAUCUGGCAAGGCUGAGUCAGAGGUUCAGCAGGUCCCUGUAGUUGUCCCUACCCCCACCCAGGUGGUGCCCUUACCUGACCCUGUACCUUCCAUUCAGAACUUCCCCAUCCCAGAUUGCUGAGCCAGUGAUGUGGCUCAACUUCAACUUUUGGGCGUUCCCCAAAUGCCCACCCAAUGUCCCCAGCUGCCUCCAGCAAAGGCCACAACUGCCAACAACAAGACUCCAAGCAACACCAUAGGGGGAAAUGCAUGUUUGGGUGAGGGACUCCGGUACCUCCUUGAAGUUGUCAAAGGCUGCAAGGAUGAUGUCAUGUCCUCCCCGCACCAAGCACACGGCCGCCAGCAGCUCCAGCACCAGAGCCUUGGUUCUGGAGAGAGAAGGGGCAGGUUGUCCCUUGAGAACAGGCAGGACCCGCGGCAAGGGUGGGCACAGGCCUGGCUAGGAGGAGCAUAGUGGGUGCAGAAUGAGCCUCUGAGACCUGGAGGACAGAGUAAGCAAGGGGCUAAGUAGGAGAAGACUCUAGAUACGGAGAAAGGUUUGGGGCCUGGACCUCACCUGGGGUUCUUGUUGUUGAGGCUCAGAGCAAUCUCAUUGACACAGGCUGGGUGGUUCAUGACAAGGCUGAAGCCAGACUGGGGAGAGAGGAGAGGUCAGUGUCUCCAGGAAGGGCCCCCCAGGACUUCAGGCACCCACGCCACGUGGAUCUUUAACUGCCCUCGAGUUUAGGAAGUUCUUUGUAUCCAACCGCAACUUCUGUGGCCACCAAAACCUGGCCUUGUUUCUAUUUUUUUUUUCAAGAUGGAGUUUCCCUCUGUCACCCAGGCUGGAGCGCAGUGGCGCCAUCUCAGCUCACCGCAGUCUCUGCCUCCCGGGUUCAAGUGAUUCUCCUGACUCAGCUUCCCAUG